rnacentral:rRNA from 1 species
GAUGAACGCUGGCGGUAUGCCUUACACAUGCAAGUCGAACGAGAGCGCAAGCUCGAGUGGCAGACGGGUGAGUAACACGUGAGAAUUUACUUCUAGGAAGGGGACAACAGUUGGAAACGGCUGCUAAUACCCUAUAUGUCAUUUGAUGAAAGGUUUUUCCGCCUAGAAAAAAGCUCGCGGCUGAUUAGCUAGUUGGUGAGGUAAGGGCUCACCAAGGCGAAGAUCAGUAGCUGGUUUGAGAGGAUGAUCAGCCACACUGGAACUGAGACACGGUCCAG